rnacentral:rRNA from 1 species
GACGAACGCUGGCGGCGUGCCUAAUACAUGCAAGUCGAACGGAGUGGCGCACGGGUGAGUAAUAUAUAGCUAAUCUGCCCCUUGCUGGAGGACAACAGUUAGAAAUGACUGCUAAUACUCCAUAGCAAGGGAUGAGACUAUAUCGUAUCAGCUAGUCGGUGGGGUAACGGCCUACCGAGGCUAUGACGCGUAACAGGUCUGAGAGGAUGAUCAGUCACAUUGUAACUGAGACACGGGCCAGACUCCUACGGCAGGGGGCAGUAGGGAGUAUUGCGCAAGGGGGGAAAGCCUGACGCAGCAACGGCGCGUGGAGGAUGACACUUUUCGGAGAGUAAACGCAUUUUUUUAGGGAAGCGGUACCUAACGAAUAAGCACCGGCUAACUCCGUGCCAGCAGCCGCGGUAAUAC